UGGGGAAUUGUUCGCAAUGGGCGAAAGCCUGACGACGCAACGCCGCGUGGAGGACGAAGAUCUUCGGGCCGUCAACUCCUUUCGAUCGGGAAGAAUGGCUUCCGGGUUCAUAGCCCGGAGGAAUGACGGUACCGAGAGAAGAAGCUCCGGCUAACUCUGUGCCAGCAGCCGCGGUACUACGGGGGGGGCAAGCGUUGUUCGGAAUUACUGGGCGUAAAGGGUUCGUAGGUGGCCUGCUAAGUCACACGUGAAAUCCCUCAGCUUAACUGGGGAACUGCGUGUGAGACUGGCGGGCUUGAGUACAGGAGAGGAACGCGGAAUUCCAGGCGUAGCGGUGAAAUGCGUAGAUAUCUGGAGGAACACCGGUGGCGAAGGCGGCGUUCUGGACUGUUACUGACACUGAGGAACGAAAGCCAGGGGAGCAAA
rnacentral:rRNA from 1 species